AGUACCGUGAGGGAAAGGUGAAAAGAACCCCUAUUAGGGGAGUGANAUAGAACCUGAAACCGGAUGCCUACAAUCAGUCGGAGCUCUAUAUGAGUGACGACGCACCUUUUGUAUAAUGGGUCAGUGACUUUAUCUGUGCAGCAAGCUUAAGCCGAAAAGGUGUAGGCGUAGCGAAAGCGAGUCUGAAUAGGGCGAUGAGUUGUACGGAUAAGAACCCGAAACCUAGUGAUCUAGUUAUGAGCAGGUUGAAGGUAAGGUAACACUUACUGGAGGACCGAACCGGUGCCUGUUGAAAAAGGCUCGGAUGACUUGUGAUUAGGGGUGAAAGGCCAAUCAAGCCCGGGAAAUAGCUGGUUCUCCGCGAAAACUAUUGAGGUAGUGCCUCGGACGAAUACCAAUGGGGGUAGAGCACUGGAUGGAUGCGGGGGGUCGCGAGAUCUACCAAACCUAACCAAACUCCGAAUACCCACAAGUACAGCUCGGGAGACAGACGGCGGGUGCUAAGGUCCCGUCGUCAAAAGGGAAACAGCCCUAACCUACAGCUAAGGUCCCCAAGUCAUCACUAAGUGGGAAAGCAUGUGGGACUUCCAAAACAACCGGGAGGUUGGCUUAGAAGCAGCCAU
rnacentral:rRNA from 1 species